rnacentral:misc_RNA from 1 species
GAUGAAGAACGUAGCGAAAUGCGAUAAGUAAUGUGAAUUGCAGAUUUCAGUGAAUCAUCGAAUCUUUGAACGCACCUUGCGCCUUGUGGUAUUCCACAAGGCAUGCCCGUUUGAGUAUCAUUAAAUCAUCAACUCUAAAACCUUUGUGGUUUUUUUUAGAGCUUGGUCUUGAGGGUUUUGCAGGCUUUUUUUUUUUUUCUAGUCUGCUCCCUUUAAAUUCAUUAGCGAGACUUCCCUAUGCUGAACCGUCUCUUUGACGUGAUAAUUAUCUGCGUCGAAUUUUGGUUCUCGUUGGGCUUGCUUCUAAUCGUCUGUUAAAGACAAAACGGAUUUGGGUGCAUAUAUGCGCCUUUUUCCAAAACCUUUUUUUGAUCUCAAAUCGGGUAGGACUACCCGCUGAACUUAAGCAUAUCAAUAAGCGGAGGA